rnacentral:rRNA from 1 species
UACGUAGGGGGCAAGCGUUGUCCGGAUUUCUUGGGCGUAAAGAGCGUGUAGGCGGCCAGGUAGGUCCGUUGUGAAAACUCGAGGCUCAACCUCGAGACGCCGAUGGAAACCAUCUGGCUAGAGUCCGGAAGAGGAGAGUGGAAUUCCCGGUGUAGCGGUGAAAUGCGCAGAUAUCGGGAAGAACACCCGUGGCUAAGGCGGCUCUCUAGUACGGUACUGACGCUGAGACGCGAAAGCGUGGGGAGCGAACAGG